UGGGGAAUAUUGCACAAUGGGGGAAACCCUGAUGCAGCGACGCCGCGUGAGCGAAGAAGUAUUUCGGUAUGUAAAGCUCUAUCAGCAGGGAAGAAAAUGACGGUACCUGACUAAGAAGCCACGGCUAACUACGUGCCAGCAGCCGCGGUAAUACGUAGGUGGCGAGCGUUGUCCGGAAUUAUUGGGCGUAAAGGGAGCGCAGGUGGGACUUCAAGUCAGUCUUAAAAGUGCGGGGCUCAACCCCGUGAUGGGAUUGAAACUGUAGUUCUUGAGUGCAGGAGAGGAAAGCGGAAUUCCUAGUGUAGCGGUGAAAUGCGUAGAUAUUAGGAGGAACACCAGUGGCGAAGGCGGCCAACUGGGCUUUUACUGACGCUGAGGCUCGAAAGUGUGGGGAGCAAACAGGAUUAGAUACCCUGGUAGU
rnacentral:rRNA from 1 species